UACGAAGGGGGCUAGCGUUGUUCGGAAUUACUGGGCGUAAAGCGCGUGUAGGCGGGUCUUUAAGUCAGGGGUGAAAUGCCAAGGCUCAACCUUGGAACUGCCUUUGAUACUGGCGAUCUUGAGUCCGGGAGAGGUGAGUGGAACUGCGAGUGUAGAGGUGAAAUUCGUAGAUAUUCGCAAGAACACCAGUGGCGAAGGCGGCUCACUGGCCCGGUACUGACGCUGAGGUGCGAAAGCGUGGGGAGCAAACAGG
rnacentral:rRNA from 1 species